GACGACGCUGGCGGCGUGCUUAACACGAUGCAAGUCGAACGGACGAGUGAGAUAAGUUACUUAACUCACAAGUUAGUGGCGGACGGGUGAGUAACACGUGGAUAAUCUACCUGCAAACACCGGGAUAACGCUGUGAAAACGGUGCUAAUACCGGAUACGUUCCCUUGUGCGCAUGUAUGAGGGAAGAAAGCUCAGGCGGUUGCAGAUGAGUCCGCGGCUGAUUAGCUAGUUGGUGAGGUAAAGGCUCACCAAGGCGAUGAUCAGUAGCCGGCCUGAGAGGGUGAACGGCCACACUGGGACUGAGACACGGCCCAGACUCCUGCGGGAGGCAGCAGUGGGGAAUCUUCCGCAAUGGGCGCAAGCCUGACGGAGCAACGCCGCGUGGGUGAAGAAGGCCUUCGGGUUGUAAAGCCCUGUCUUAUGGGAAGAAGUCAGUGACGGUACCAUAGGAGGAAGCCACGGCUAACUACGUG
rnacentral:rRNA from 1 species